CAGCAGGUCUCACCCUGUCUCAGGAAGACGUCAGGGGUCAGCACAAGGCCAGACUCCGAGUUGAUGAGUCACUCUGGGAGAAGGCCAAUCGCAGGAUGAAGGUCUGGUUCCAUUAAAAGCAGGCAAAGUGGUGGAAAAACGUAUUUUGGAGAAAGCGGUAGAGGGGUGAGGCCAACAAACUUUGGUUCCUCUCCAAGCCAGUACAUCUGCUAUGGCACCCGUGGAGAACCACUGAAAGAUGGGAUGACUGAACCAUGAGGAGGAAAAUUGGAGAGAGUGGUGAAGAUUAUUCUCCAUCAAUCCCUGGGCACUCUGAUGUCAGCACAGAGGGCUAGGGCAGAGAAAGAGCUCUAUGAAGAGAGAAGAAAAGCAAGCUGACCCACGUAUUCUGGGAGUGUGUGCAAGGGACAGGUGGAUGUGGGUCCAAUCUUUUGAGCCCCCACAUCACAGCAAAUCAUUCUAAGGGAUACCAAGGACAAAUCACUGAUUCUAGGGCAAACGAAAUAAGAUGAAUCUGGUUUUACCUGAUAUAACACCAAUUCUGAUCACCUCUUUUUCUUCUCUUUAAAACUGGACUAAGAACUCAAUGACUUACUUUAUUGUUCUGUUUAAACAAUUAAAUUU